rnacentral:rRNA from 1 species
GACGAACGCUGGCGGCGUGCUUAACACAUGCAAGUCGAACGGAAAGGCCCUGCUUUUGUGGGGUGCUCGAGUGGCGAACGGGUGAGUAACACGUGAGUAACCUGCCCUUGACUUUGGGAUAACUUCAGGAAACUGGGGCUAAUACCGGAUAGGAGCUCCUGCUGCAUGGUGGGGGUUGGAAAGUUUCGGCGGUUGGGGAUGGACUCGCGGCGUAUCAGCUUGUUGGUGGGGUAGUGGCUUACCAAGGCUUUGACGGGUAGCCGGCCUGAGAGGGUGACCGGCCACAUUGGGACUGAGAUACGGCCCAGACUCCUACGGGAGGCAGCAGUGGGGAAUAUUGCACAAUGGGCGGAAGCCUAAUGCAGCAACGCCGCGUGCGGGAUGACGGCCUUCGGGUUGUAAACCGCUUUCGCCUGUGACGAAGCGUGAGUGACGGUAAUGGGUAAAGAAGCACCGGCUAACUACGUG